CAGAUUGAACGCUGGCGGCAGGCCUAACACAUGCAAGUCGAACGGCAGCACAGAAGAGCUUGCUCUUUGGGUGGCGAGUGGCGGACGGGUGAGUAAUGUCUGGGAAACUGCCCGAUGGAGGGGGAUAACUACUGGAAACGGUAGCUAAUACCGCAUAACGUCGCAAGACCAAAGUGGGGGACCUUCGGGCCUCACACCAUCGGAUGUGCCCAGAUGGGAUUAGCUAGUAGGUGGGGUAAUGGCUCACCUAGGCGACGAUCCCUAGCUGGUCUGAGAGGAUGACCAGCCACACUGGAACUGAGACACGGUCCAGACUCCUACGGGAGGCAGCAGUGGGGAAUAUUGCACAAUGGGCGCAAGCCUGAUGCAGCCAUGCCGCGUGUAUGAAGAAGGCCUUCGGGUUGUAAAGUACUUUCAGCGGGGAGGAAGGCGGUGAGGUUAAUAACCUUGCCGAUUGACGUUACCCGCAGAAGAAGCACCGGCUAACUCCGUGCCAGCAGCCGCGGUAAUACGGAGGGUGCAAGCGUUAAUCGGAAUUACUGGGCGUAAAGCGCACGCAGGCGGUCUGUUAAGUCAGAUGUGAAAUCCCCGGGCUUAACCUGGGAACUGCAUUUGAAACUGGCAGGCUUGAGUCUCGUAGAGGGGGGUAGAAUUCCAGGUGUAGCGGUGAAAUGCGUAGAGAUCUGGAGGAAUACCGGUGGCG
rnacentral:rRNA from 1 species